rnacentral:rRNA from 1 species
GACGAACUUUGGCGGCGUGCUUAACACAUGCAAGUCGAACGGAAAGGCCCUGCUUUUGUGGGGUGCUCGAGUGGCGAACGGGUGAGUAACACGUGAGUAACCUGCCCUUGACUUUGGGAUAACUUCAGGAAACUGGGGCUAAUACCGGAUAGGAGCUCCUGCUGCAUGGUGGGGGUUGGAAAGUUUCGGCGGUUGGGGAUGGACUCGCGGCUUAUCAGCUUGUUGGUGGGGUAGUGGCUUACCAAGGCUUUGACGGGUAGCCGGCCUGAGAGGGUGACCGGCCACAUUGGGACUGAGAUACGGCCCAGACUCCUACGGGAGGCAGCAGUGGGGAAUAUUGCACAAUGGGCGGAAGCCUGAUGCAGCAACGCCGCGUGCGGGAUGACGGCCUUCGGGUUGUAAACCGCUUUCGCCUGUGACGAAGCGUGAGUGACGGUAAUGGGUAAAGAAGCACCGGCUAACCACGUGCCAGCAGCCGCGGUGAUACGUAGGGUGCGAGCGUUGUCCGGAUUUAUUGGGCGUAAAGGGCUCGUAGGUGGUUGAUCGCGUCGGAAGUGUAAUCUUGGGGCUUAACCCUGAGCGUGCUUUCGAUACGGGUUGACUUGAGGAAGGUAGGGGAGAAUGGAAUUCCUGGUGGAGCGGUGGAAUGCGCAGAUAUCAGGAGGAACACCAGUGGCGAAGGCGGUUCUCUGGGCCUUUCCUGACGCUGAGGAGCGAAAGCGUGGGGAGCGAACAGGCUUAGAUACCCUGGUAGUCCACGCUGUAAACGGUGGGUACUAGGUGUGGGGUCCAUUCCACGGGUUCCGUGCCGUAGCUAACGCUUUAAGUACCCCGCCUGGGGAGUACGGCCGCAAGGCUAAAACUCAAAGGAAUUGACGGGGCCCCGCACAAGCGGCGGAGCAUGCGGAUUAAUUCGAUGCAACGCGUAGAACCUUACCUGGGUUUGACAUGGAUCGGGAGUGCUCAGAGAUGGGUGUGCCUCUUUUGGGGUCGGUUCACAGGUGGUGCAUGCCUGUCGUCAGCUCGUGUCGUGAGAUGUUGGGUUAAGUCCCGCAACGAGCGCAACCCUUGUUCACUGUUGCCAGCACGUUAUGGUGGGGACUCAGUGGAGACCGCCGGGGUCAACUCGGAGGAAGGUGGGGAUGACGUCAAGUCCUCAUGCCCCUUAAGUCCAGGGCUUCACGCAUGCUACAAUGGCUGGUACAGAGAGUGGCGAGCCUGUGAGGGUGAGCGAAUCUCGGAAAGCCGGUCUCAGUUCGGAUUGGGGUCUGCAACUCGACCUCAUGAAGUCGGAGUCGCUAGUAAUCGCAGAUCAGCAACGCUGCGGUGAAUACGUUCCCGGGGCU